UAGGGCAAGUCUGGUGCCAGCAGCCGCGGUAAUUCCAGCUCCAAUAGCGUAUAUUAAAGUUGUUGCAGUUAAAAAGCUCGUAGUUGAAUUUCGAGAUCAGUACGCUGGUCGUGCCUUCGGUAUGCACUGGUGUCACUGGUUUCUCCCUUCUGAAGAACCGUCAUGUCAUUAAGUUGGUGUGGCGGGGAAUCAGGACUGUUACUUUGAAAAAAUUAGAGUGUUUAAAGCAGGCUCGCGCUUGAAUACAUUAGCAUGGAAUAAUGAAAUAGGACGUUUGACCCUAUUUUGUUGGUUUCUAGGAUCGACGUAAUGAUUAAUAGGGAUAGUUGGGGGCAUUAGUAUUCAAUUGUCAGAGGUGAAAUUCUUGGAUUUAUUGAAGACUAACUACUGCGAAAGCAUUUGCCAAGGAUGUUUUCAUUAAUCAAGAACGAAAGUUAGGGGAUCGAAGACGAUCAGAUACCGUCGUAGUCUUAACCAUAAACUAUGCCGACUAGGGAUCGGAUGAUGUUAAUUUUUUAAUGACUCA
rnacentral:rRNA from 1 species